AACAGAAGUUGAGUAGAACUCUCAGAAGACAUGUGAAGGUUUCUGUAAAUGAUGUGGAGGAUGUAACAAAUAGGAGAAAUGAUUUUGGAAGGGAGUAUCAAGAAUCAUAAAGCAGCCUGGACAAUGGGAGGAAACCAGUUCAAAAGCUAGGGAACAACUAAGUCCAAAGGUGAUGGGAUUAUGGAUGUGACUAGAGAUAUUAAAGUCACUCAUUGGUAAUAAGUGUAAUUUCCUCACAAGAUGGCCAUUUUGGAAACCUCAGAAAUUAUGAGGGGACAUUUAACUAUGAUCAAGACCUUGGAAGGAACAGAUCAUUCUGGGCUAUCAAGUGAUGUGGAACAAUCAUGACAGAGGCAGGAUGGUGACAUGGAGAACACUCAAUGACCACUGUGGAGAUCACCUGUCGCCACUGUAGAGCUCGCCCUCUGUCACUUUAGGGGUCAUGUACAGUCAUCGUGGAAGUCAUCUGCAGCCCUUGUGAAGAUGAUGUACAGAAUGGAACCCAAAACAAUGGGUGUGACAAGUGGGAAUAUCACUAGUGUAAUGUAGGUCUAAAAUCAACAUGAAUAAAGUUUUCAAAGCCACAGUCCUAUAUGGCACCAACCAGCUGAAUGAACUAUAAAUUAAAAUUAGUGAAAAUUUCACUUUCUAAAGCAAAGUAAUCUCCAAGAAAAGCUCAAUAGGCAUAUGUGAUAAUGUACUAUAUGUUGGAUGCCACUAAGAACAAUGCCUUCAACACAUAAAAUUAUGUUGGACUGGAAUAACAGGGAGUAAAACACCAUAAAAAAAAAAACAUGGGAAGGAUUGAAAAUAGAUGAGCUGUCAGAAUGGGA